rnacentral:rRNA from 1 species
UACUCGAGUGGCGAACGGGUGAGUAACACGUGGGUGAUCUGCCCUGCACUUCGGGAUAAGCUUGGGAAACUGGGUCUAAUACCGGAUAGGAGCCAUCUUUAGUGUGGUGGUUGGAAAGUUUUUUCGGUGUAGGAUGAGCUCGCGGCCUAUCAGCUUGUUGGUGGGGUAAUGGCCUACCAAGGCGGCGACGGGUAGCCGGCCUGAGAGGGUGUACGGCACAUUGGGACUGAGAUACGACCCAG